AUGACAAGAAGAACUUCUCCAACAAUGUGGAGUGACUGGGCAUUGGAGAAGCAGGCAGCAAAAAUAUAUAAUAGAGGCAUUUUUUACAAAUUUCAGCAAGAGUUGAUGAAUUCAACUAAGUUUCACAUGGUUGAAGUUGAAAAAAACAAACAAUAUGAGGUUUUCAAAUCACCAACGCAAGCACUCUUUGACUAUAACACCAGAACUUUCAUAGUGAUGGUGGACAUAGACUCUAAGACUUUCACAUGCAUAUGUGGUAAAUUUGAAAAGGAUGGCAUACUAUGCUCUCAUGCACUCAAAGUGAUCCCAGCAUUGAACAUUGAUGAGAUAGCAGAGAAGUAUUUCAUUGAUAGAUGGAGACCUGAAGAAAAGAAAUCAUAA
rnacentral:rRNA from 1 species